rnacentral:lncRNA from 1 species
AUUUCUAAAAAUAUGGCAUUUAAGUGUUUAGUUUUUAUAGUCAUAUUAUUUGAAAUUAUAGAAAAUAUAAAAUUGAUAUGUUUAUUUUGUUUAUUAAUUUCAAAUAAUGUUAGUAAUAAUAUGAAUGCCUUUUUUGGGAGGAUUCUUUUAGGUUAAAUUGUGAGAGCUUAGUUAAGAAAAAGAAAAACAUUUGAAGUCAAAGAUAAAGAGAAUUGAUAUUAGAGAGAAAGAAGAGGAGAAAGAGAGAGAGAGAGUUUUUAGAUUAGAGAUGUAAGAGAUAAAGAAAAAGAAAAAACUUCGCUUAAAGAGAGAGAGAUUUAAGGUUCAAGACAGUAAGAGAUAUUUGUGAGUAGAAGGAGAGAGAGUACAAAUAGAAAAAUAUAAAAAAUAUAAAAAGUAUAAUUAGAGAAAUAGUGAGAGAGAUUGAGUUAGAGAAAAAAAUAAAGAGUUUAGAUUUAGAAAGAGAGAGAUGAUGUUAAAGAGAUGAGAUUAAAGAGUAAAGGGAGAAAUAAGAAGAGUGGGUCGCAUUAGACAUUUUAUUUUAUGAUUAUUAUCCCAAUCUAUUAAAAUGAAGAUAUCCGCCUCUUCCCAAAAUGAUAUUAUUAUUUAGGCAUCAAUCUCAUUUCCUUACGAGGCCAGAAGUUCGAACCCUAGUUAGCUGAGUUCGCUUCUAAAAAAUAAACAAAGUGUGUAGUUUCAUACCUUUUUCUUUCAAAGAAAAUAAUUUUUUUUUGAGUUAGAAAAAUGAACUAAACUAUAGGAAUGAGGCAUUCUAGGCCUCGAAAAGGGUCGCCAAAAUAUCCAAAAAAGAAAAAAAAAUUGAUUACAUAAAUUAUUAUUUCUUUGCUGUGAUAUGCUGCUCCUGCAUGUUUGUGAGCUGUUUAAUCUUGUAGACUGCACGGAGGGGGUCCAAGGUCCGGCUGGACGUUACUAAAAAUUGCAUAAUUUCUGAUCAUUCAAAUGAUCCACCAGCAGGCUAAUAGUCUGGUAUAAAGCUACUCACUUCGUUUUAAACAAAAAUUACAAAUUUUUUUUUUGAGUUGGAAAGAUGAAUUAAGCUACAGGAGUGAGGCAUCCCAGGCCUCGAAAAGGGUCGCCAAAACAUCCAAAA